GUGGGGAAUUUUGGACAAUGGGGGCAACCCUGAUCCAGCCAUUCCGCGUGAGUGAAGAAGGCCUUCGGGUUGUAAAGCUCUUUCGGCAGGAACGAAACGGUGAGCUCUAACAUAGCUCGCUAAUGACGGUACCUGAAGAAGAAGCACCGGCUAACUACGUGCCAGCAGCCGCGGUAAUACGUAGGGUGCGAGCGUUAAUCGGAAUUACUGGGCGUAAAGCGUGCGCAGGCGGUUGUGUAAGACAGGUGUGAAAUCCCCGGGCUUAACCUGGGAACUGCGCUUGUGACGGCAUAGCUAGAGUACGGCAGAGGGGGAAGGAAUUCCGCGUGUAGCAGUGAAAUGCGUAGAUAUGCGGAGGAACACCGAUGGCGAAGGCAAUCCCCUGGGCCUGUACUGACGCUCAUGCACGAAAGCGUGGGGAGCAAACAGGAUUAGAUACCCCGGUAGUCC
rnacentral:rRNA from 1 species